UGAAACCGUGUACGUACAAGCAGUGGGAGCCUCUUAAUGGGGUGACUGCGUACCUUUUGUAUAAUGGGUCAGCGACUUAUAUUCUGUAGCAAGGUUAACCGAAUAGGGGAGCCGAAGGGAAACCGAGUCUUAACUGGGCGUUAAGUUGCAGGGUAUAGACCCGAAACCCGGUGAUCUAGCCAUGGGCAGGUUGAAGGUUGGGUAACACUAACUGGAGGACCGAACCGACUAAUGUUGAAAAAUUAGCGGAUGACUUGUGGCUGGGGGUGAAAGGCCAAUCAAACCGGGAGAUAGCUGGUUCUCCCCGAAAGCUAUUUAGGUAGCGCCUCGUGAAUUCAUCUCCGGGGGUAGAGCACUGUUUCGGCAAGGGGGUCAUCCCGACUUACCAACCCGAUGCAAACUGCGAAUACCGGAGAAUGUUAUCACGGGAGACACACGGCGGGUGCUAACGUCCGUCGUGAAGAGGGAAACAACCCAGACCGCCAGCUAAGGUCCCAAAGUCAUGGUUAAGUGGGAAACGAUGUGGGAAGGCCCAGACAGCCAGGAUGUUGGCUUAGAAGCAGCCAUCAUUUAAAGAAAGCGUAAUAGCUCACUGGUCGAGUCGGCCUGCGCGGAAGAUGUAACGGGGCUAAACCAUGCACCGAAGCUGCGGCAGCGACGCUUAUGCGUUGUUGGGUAGGGGAGCGUUCUGUAAGCCUGUGAAGGUGUGCUGUGAGGCAUGCUGGAGGUAUCAGAAGUGCGAAUGCUGACAUAAGUAACGAUAAAGCGGGUGAAAAGCCCGCUCGCCGGAAGACCAAGGGUUCCUGUCCAACGUUAAUCGGGGCAGGGUGAGUCGACCCCUAAGGCGAGGCCGAAAGGCGUAGUCGAUGGGAAACAGGUUAAUAUUCCUGUACUUGGUGUUACUGCGAAGGGGGGACGGAGAAGGCUAUGUUGGCCGGGCGACGGUUGUCCCGGUUUAAGCGUGUAGGCUGGUU
rnacentral:rRNA from 1 species